UACAGAGGUCUCAAGCGUUGUUCGGAUUCAUUGGGCGUAAAGGGCGCGUAGGCUGCGGGGCAAGUCGGGUGUGAAAUCUCAGAGCUCAACUCUGAAACUGCACUCGAUACUGCUUUGCUCGAGGACUGGAGAGGAGAUUGGAAUUCACGGUGUAGCAGUGAAAUGCGUAGAUAUCGUAAGGAAGACCAGUGGCGAAGGCGGGUCUCUGGACCAACACUGACACUGAUGAGCGAAAGCCAGGGGAGCAAACGGG
rnacentral:rRNA from 1 species